rnacentral:rRNA from 1 species
GACGGAGGAUGCAAGCGUUAUCCGGAAUGAUUGGGCGUAAAGCGUCUGCAGGUGGCAGUUCAAGUCUGCUGUCAAAGACCGGGGCUUAACUUCGGAAAGGCAGUGGAAACUGAACAGCUAGAGUAUGGUAGGGGCAGAGGGAAUUCCUGGUGUAGCGGUGAAAUGCGUAGAGGUCAGGAAGAACAUCGGUGGCGAAGGCGCUCUGCUGGACCAUAACUGACACUCAGGGACGAAAGCUAGGGGAGCGAACGGG